rnacentral:lncRNA from 1 species
UCAUUUCUCUUGGCCGGCCAAAGGAAGAAAAGGGAAGAAAAGAAGAAGAACAAAACCCUAGGUGGAAAAAUUCAAGGGAAAAGUGUGAAAAUUCAAGGAAACAAGUGAAAAAAGGUAAGAUUUUUCAAUUCUAGCUUGUGAUCUACCUUUCAUAUGCAUUCUUUUUCAUUUUCCAUGGUUGAGAAUCAAGUUUGCAUGAGGAUACCCUUGCUGGCCGAACAUGGGGGGAGGAGUUUUGAACUUGGAUUUGGUUAGAUUUCAAUGUAUUUUAGUGUUUUUAGUUAGUUAGUGAUGUGUAGCAUGAAAAUCAAGCAAGAAAAAUUCAUGUUCUUCCAUCACCCAUCAUUGGCCGAAUUCUCCAUGUGGAAUAUUGAUGAUGAUUUUGAUUUUAUUUCAAGUG